GACGAACGCUGGCGGCGUGCCUAACACAUGCAAGUCGAACGGAAAGGCCCUGCUUUUGUGGGGUGCUCGAGUGGCGAACGGGUGAGUAACACGUGAGUAACCUGCCCUUGACUUUGGGAUAACUUCAGGAAACUGGGGCUAAUACCGGAUAGGAGCUCCUGCUGCAUGGUGGGGGUUGGAAAGUUUCGGCGGUUGGGGAUGGACUCGCGGCUUAUCAGCUUGUUGGUGGGGUAGUGGCUUACCAAGGCUUUGACGGGUAGCCGGCCUGAGAGGGUGGCCGGCCACAUUGGGACUGAGAUACGGCCCAGACUCCUACGGGAGGCAGCAGUGGGGAAUAUUGCACAAUGGGCGGAAGCCUGAUGCAGCAACGCCGCGUGCGGGAUGACGGCCUUCGGGUUGUAAACCGCUUUCGCCUGUGACGAAGCGUGAGUGACGGUAAUGGGUAAAGAAGCACCGGCUAACUACGUG
rnacentral:rRNA from 1 species